rnacentral:rRNA from 1 species
AUGGAAAAACUUCUUGUAAUGUAUUUAACCAGAAAAUCGAUUAUGCUCCUGCGGAAGUAUCUACUCGUAACGGAAUUUCAGGUGUCAAAGUGCGGAUCUCAUAUAGUCAAAAUAAGAAGGGACGUGCUAUAUCCGAAACAUACGAAAUAUAGUAAAUAUUUUAAAUGCAGAUGUAGUAGGGGUCGCGAACCGGAUGGUACACAACUUGGUUUUGGAUAUGGCACCGAAAAUUGUAGAGCUGGUCGUCAUUCAUAUUGAGCCAUUGAAGCAGCACGUCGGGCUACAAUCAGACAAUUCCAUCAUGCUAUGAGCGGACAAUUUCAAAGAAAUUGUAAGAUAUGGGUAAGAGUUGCAGAUCUUCCUAUUACGGGGAAACCCGCAGAAGUUCGAAUGGGAACAGGAAAAGGAAAUCCGACAGGUUGGAUUGCUCAUGUGUCCACGGGACAAAUCCCAUUUGAAAUGGAUAGUGUGAGUUUGUCAAAUGCUCGACAAGCCGCUAGAUUAGCUGUGCAUAAACCAUGUUCAUCAACCAAGUUUGUUCAGUGGUCGUAA